rnacentral:rRNA from 1 species
GACGAACGCUGGCGGCGUGCUUAACACAUGCAAGUCGAACGGAAAGGCCCUGCUGUUGUGGGGUGCUCGAGUGGCGAACGGGGGAGUAACACGUGAGUAACCUACCCUUGACUUUGGGAUAACUUCAGGAAACUGGGGCUAAUACCGGAUAGGAGCUCCUGCUGCAUGGUGGGGGAUGGUAAGUUUCGGCGUUUGGGGCUGGACUCGCGGCUUAUCAGCUUGUUGGUGGGGUAGUGGCUUACCAAGGCUUUGACGGGUAGCCGGCCUGAGAGGGUGACCGGCGACAAUGGGACUGAGAUACGGCGCAGACUCCUACGGGAGGCAGCAGUGGGGAAUAUUGCAGAAUGGGCGGAAGCCUGAAGCAGCAACGCCGCGUGCGGGAUGACGGCCUUCGGGUUGUAAACCGCUUUCGCCUGUGACGAAGCGUGAGUGACGGUAAUGGGUAAAGAAGCACCGGCUAACUACGUG